GUGCCAGCCGCCGCGGUAAUACGUAGGUGGCAAGCGUUAUCCGGAAUUAUUGGGCGUAAAGCGCGCGUAGGCGGUUUUUUAAGUCUGAUGUGAAAGCCCACGGCUCAACCGUGGGGGGUCAUUGGAAACUGGAAAACUUGAGUGCAGAAGAGGAAAGUGGAAUUCCAUGUGUAGCGGUGAAAUGCGCAGAGAUAUGGAGGAACACCAGUGGCGAAGGCGACUUUCUGGUCUGUAACUGACGCUGAUGUGCGAAAGCGUGGGGAUCAAACAGGAUUAGAU
rnacentral:rRNA from 1 species